rnacentral:tRNA from 1 species
CAUAGCGUAGCUUAACCAAAGCACCCCGCUUACACCGAGAAAAUGCCCGUAAAAACCGGACCGCUACGA